rnacentral:rRNA from 1 species
UAAUNCGGGGGGCNGCNGUNGGGNGUCUUCCGCGNUGGCCGNNNGUCUGNCGGAGCNCCGCCGCGUGAGCGAUGAAGGCCUUCGGGUCGUAAAGCUCUGUUGUCAGGGAAGAACAAGUACCGGAGUAACUGCCGGUACCUUGACGGAACCUGACCAGAAAGCCACGGCUAACUACGUGCCAGCAGCCGCGGUAAUACGUAGGUGGCAAGCGUUGUCCGGAAUUAUUGGGCGUAAAGCGCGCGCAGGCGGUUCCUUAAGUCUGAUGUGAAAGCCCCCGGCUCAACCGGGGAGGGUCAUUGGAAACUGGGGAACUUGAGUGCAAAAGAGGAGAGCGGAAUUCCACGUGUAGCGGUGAAAUGCGUAGAGAUGUGGAGGAACACCCGUGGCCAAGGCCGCUCUCUGGUCUGUAACUGACGCUGAGGCGCGAAAGCGUGGGGAGCGAACAGGAUAGAUACCCUGGUAGUCCACGCCCUAAACGAUGAGUGCUAAGUGUUAGAGGGUUUCCCCCCUUUAGU